GAUAAACGCUGGCGGCGUGCCUAAUACAUGCAAGUCGAGCGAACGGACGAGAAGCUUGCUUCUCUGAUGUUAGCGGCGGACGGGUGAGUAACACGUGGAUAACCUACCUAUAAGACUGGGAUAACUUCGGGAAACCGGAGCUAAUACCGGAUAAUAUUUUGAACCGCAUGGUUCAAAAGUGAAAGACGGUCUUGCUGUCACUUAUAGAUGGAUCCGCGCUGCAUUAGCUAGUUGGUAAGGUAACGGCUUACCAAGGCAACGAUGCAUAGCCGACCUGAGAGGGUGAUCGGCCACACUGGAACUGAGACACGGUCCAGACUCCUACGGGAGGCAGCAGUAGGGAGUCUUCCGCAAUGGGCGAAAGCCUGACGGAGCAACGCCGCGUGAGUGAUGAAGGUCUUCGGAUCGUAAAACUCUGUUAUUAGGGAAGAACAUAUGUGUAAGUAACUGUGCACAUCUUGACGGUACCUAAUCAGAAAGCCACGGCUAACUACGUGCCAGCAGCCGCGGUAAUACGUAGGUGGCAAGCGUUAUCCGGAAUUAUUGGGCGUAAAGCGCGCGUAGGCGGUUUUUUAAGUCUGAUGUGAAAGCCCACGGCUCAACCGUGGAGGGUCAUUGGAAACUGGAAAACUUGAGUGCAGAAGAGGAAAGUGGAAUUCCAUGUGUAGCGGUGAAAUGCGCAGAGAUAUGGAGGAACACCAGUGGCGAAGGCGACUUUCUGGUCUGCAACCGACGCUGAUGUGCGAAAGCGUGGGGAUCAAACAGGAUUAGAUACCCUGGUAGUCCACGCCGUAAACGAUGAGUGCUAAGUGUUAGGGGGUUUCCGCCCCUUAGUGCUGCAGCUAACGCAUUAAGCACUCCGCCUGGGGAGUACGACCGCAAGGUUGAAACUCAAAGGAAUUGACGGGGACCCGCACAAGCGGUGGAGCAUGUGGUUUAAUUCGAAGCAACGCGAAGAACCUUACCAAAUCUUGACAUCCUUUGACAACUCUAGAGAUAGAGCCUUCCCCUUCGGGGGACAAAGUGACAGGUGGUGCAUGGUUGUCGUCAGCUCGUGUCGUGAGAUGUUGGGUUAAGUCCCGCAACGAGCGCAACCCUUAAGCUUAGUUGCCAUCAUUAAGUUGGGCACUCUAAGUUGACUGCCGGUGACAAACCGGAGGAAGGUGGGGAUGACGUCAAAUCAUCAUGCCCCUUAUGAUUUGGGCUACACACGUGCUACAAUGGACAAUACAAAGGGCAGCGAAACCGCGAGGUCAAGCAAAUCCCAUAAAGUUGUUCUCAGUUCGGAUUGUAGUCUGCAACUCGACUACAUGAAGCUGGAAUCGCUAGUAAUCGUAGAUCAGCAUGCUACGGUGAAUACGUUCCCGGGUCU
rnacentral:rRNA from 1 species